rnacentral:rRNA from 1 species
GUGACCUGCGGAAGGAUCAUUACCGAAUUGUCAACAAGAGUUGUUGCUGGUCCUCAAGCGGGGGCAUGUGCACGCUCUGUUAACACAUCCACUCACACCCUGUGCACCYUCUGUAGUUCUGUGGUUGGGGGACCCAUCCUCCUGCUGUGGUUCUGCAUCUUUACACACACACACUGUAACAAAGUCUCAUGGAAUGCAUCUGCGUUUAACGCAAUACAAUACAACUUUCAGCAACGGAUCUCUUGGCUCUCGCAUCGAUGAAGAACGCAGCGAAAUGCGAUAAGUAAUGUGAAUUCAGUGAAUCAUCGAAUCUUUGAACGCACCUUGCGCCCUUUGGCCAUUCCGAAGGGCAUGCCUGUUUGAGUAUCAUGAACACCUCAACUCUUCAUGGUUUUCCGUGAUGAGCUUGGACUUUGGGGGUUUUGCUGGCCUAYGGUCGGCUCCUCUAAAAUGAAUCAGCUUGCCAGUGUUUGGUGGGCAUCACAGGUGUGAUAACUAUCUACGCUUGUGGUUUUCCCACCAGGUAACCUUCAGCAGUGGAGGUUCGCUGGAGCUCACAGAUGUCUCUCCUCAGUGAGGACAGCCC